rnacentral:rRNA from 1 species
CCAGCUGGUCGAGCCGGAUCACUAGUAACGGCCGCCAGUGUGCUGGAAUUCGCCCUUGNAGUUUGAUCCUGGCUCAGAACGAACGCUGGCGGCGCGUUUUAAGCAUGCAAGUCGAACGGUAGAGAUGUUUCGGUAUCUUGAGAGUGGCGAACGGGUGAGUAACACGUAGAUAAUCUGCCUCUUGGUUGGGGAUAGCCCAUAGAAAUAUGGGGUAAUACUGAAUACGGUCUUUAUAUCGGAAGGAUGUAAAGAAGAAAGGAGCUACGGCUUCGCCGAGAGAUGAGUCUGCGGACCAUUAGCUAGUUGGUAGGGUAAGAGCGUACCAAGGCGAUGAUGGAUAGCCGGCCUGAGAGGGUGACCGGCCACACUGGGACUGAGACACGGCCCAGACUCCUACGGGAGGCAGCAGCUAAGAAUCUUCCGCAAUGGGGGAAACCCUGACGGAGCGACGCCGCGUGGACGAAGAAGGCCGAGAGGUUGUAAAGUUCUUUUCCUAGAGAGGAAUAAUACGAGGAGGGAAUGCCUUGUAGAUGACGCUACCUAGGGAAUAAGCCCCGGCUAAUUACGUGCCAGCAGCCGCGGUAAUACGUAAGGGGCGAGCGUUGUUCGGAAUUAUUGGGCGUAAAGGGCACGCAGGCGGCCUUGCAAGUCUGAUGUGAAAGGCUCCGGCUCAACUGGAGAGACGCAUUGGAAACGGUAAGGCUANAGUANAGGAGGGGAAGCUGGAAUUCCUGGUGUAAGGGUGAAAUCUGUA